rnacentral:rRNA from 1 species
AUACGGAGGGUGCAAGCGUUACUCGGAAUCACUGGGCGUAAAGCGCGCGCAGGCGGCUAUUUAAGUUGGAUGUGAAAGCCUACGGCUCAACCGUAGAACUGCAUCCAAAACUAUUUAGCUAGAGUGUGGGAGAGGAAGAUGGAAUUAGUUGUGUAGGGGUAAAAUCCGUAGAGAUAACUAGGAAUACCAAAAGCGAAGGCAAUCUUCUGGAACACCACUGACGCUGAGGCGCGAAAGCGUGGGGAGCAAACAGGAUUAGAAACCCUAGUAGUCC